CAGCAGCCGCGGUAAUACGGAGGGUGCAAGCGUUAAUCGGAAUUACUGGGCGUAAAGCGCACGCAGGCGGUUUGUUAAGUCAGAUGUGAAAUCCCCGGGCUCAACCUGGGAAUGGCAAUGGAUACUGGCAAGCUAGAGUGUGUCAGAGGAUGGUGGAAUUCCCGGUGUAGCGGUGAAAUGCGUAGAGAUCGGGAGGAACAUCAGUGGCGAAGGCGGCCAUCUGGGACAACACUGACGCUGAGGCACGAAAGCGUGGGGAGCAAACAGGAUUAGAUACCCCCGUAGUCCCUGUCUCUUAUAC
rnacentral:rRNA from 1 species